GAUGAACGCUGGCGGCGUGCCUAAUACAUGCGAGUCGAGCGAACGGACGAGAAGCUUGCUUCUCUGAUGUUAGCGGCGGACGGGUGAGUAACACGUGGAUAACCUACCUAUAAGACUGGGAUAACUUCGGGAAACCGGAGCUAAUACCGGAUAAUAUUUUGAACCGCAUGGUUCAAAAGUGAAAGACGGUCUUGCUGUUACUUAUAGAUGGAUCCGCGCUGCAUUAGCUAGUUGGUAAGGUAACGGCUUACCAAGGCAACGAUGCAUAGCCGACCUGAGAGGGUGAUCGGCCACACUGGAACUGAGACACGGUCCAGACUCCUACGGGAGGCAGCAGUAGGGAAUCUUCCGCAAUGGGCGAAAGCCUGACGGAGCAACGCCGCGUGAGUGAUGAAGGUCUUCGGAUCGUAAAACUCUGUUAUUAGGGAAGAACAUAUGUGUAAGUAACUGUGCACAUCUUGACGGUACCUAAUCAGAAAGCCACGGCUAACUACGUG
rnacentral:rRNA from 1 species